UGAGAAUCAUUUUUUUAUAUCAUUUUGCUAUAGUCCAAAAGAUGAGGGACUAUGCUCUGCUAAUGCAACUCGCUAUUAUUUUAAUCCAAGACACAAAGCCUGUGAGGCCUUCACCUAUACUGGCUGUGGAGGGAAUAACAAUAACUUUGUUAACGUGAAGGACUGCAAACGCAUUUGUGUAAAAGCCUUGAAAAAGGGAAAAAACAAGAUGCCAAAACUUCUCUUUGCAAGUAGAAGACUGAAAAUUAAGAAGAAGCAAUUUUAACCCUUUUUUCUUUUUCCGUAUGUCAUCUUGUGAAUGACUUUAUGGUUAUAUCUGAAGGAUAAUAUGGUAAUACAAGUAAGCAAAUCAUUAGUGAUUUAUUCACCAGUUCUUAUAUGUUACAUUUUUUAAUUUGUGUAGUUUUUAUACAUAACUAGCUGCUAUUCAAAUGCGAAUCUAUUAUUUUAAAUUUAAUGUUCAACUAUUUUUUAUGAGGUUAAAUUCUUGCUGUGCAUAAGAUAUAAAAGCAAACAUGACUCACCCAGUUCUUGGGGUUGCUCUCCCUGAUUUCAGAAGAUGAUAGUAACUGAAAAAUAAAAGAAUAUGAUUAUAUUGUCUUAUAACAGAUAGGAUUAUAAAAAGGACCAGCAAAUAUAUUUAAUUUUGCAUUUAAAAGUCAGAUUAUAUUUUGGACCCAAGGAGACAAACUUGCAGACUUACCAACACUUCAAAAAAUGUUACAAAUGCUAUUAUAUAGACACUGCUAAGUUACUUCUAUUUCUACAGUGUCAUUUAAAAGAUAAUAAAAUAAAGUAACUGUUUUGCCUGAAUUAAAAAGCUAGUAAAGUAAUUACAACCAGAAAUGUUCUCCUCGGGUUGGGGUGGGGGGAUUCUCUGUCUCUCUCUCUCUCUUCAUCUAUCCAUUCAUCCCCACUCAGCAUUAAGUUGUUAAAAUUUUUGUACUGUUCAAGGUGCUUAUUUAUACUAUACCAGAGACAAUGCAUAAAUUUAAUAAUUUAAAUUCCACUAAUAAAAUAUUCCUGAUAAAUAUGAUCA